rnacentral:tRNA from 1 species
AUUGUCUUGGCAGAAAUUUAUGCAUUAAGUUUAGGACUUAAUUAUAUAGUAAAAUUAGACUAUAGAUAAUA